UACGUAGGGCGCAAGCGUUGUCCGGAAUUAUUGGGCGUAAAGAGCUCGUAGGCGGCUUGUCACGUCGGGUGUGAAAGCCCGGAGCUCAACUCCGGGCCUGCAGUCGAUACGGGCAAACUGGAGUGUUGCAGGGGAGACUGGAAUUCCUGGUGUAGCGGUGAAAUGCGCAGAUAUCAGGAGGAACACCGGUGGCGAAGGCGGGUCUCUGGGCAACAACUGACGCUGAGGAGCGAAAGCGUGGGGAGCGAACAGG
rnacentral:rRNA from 1 species